rnacentral:lncRNA from 1 species
AUGUGUUUGGGUGAGUGUUUCAGAAGCGCAGCAGGGGAUCACUUUCUUACACCGCCCCGUCAGGUGCCCGUGAGGGGUCAGCCCCGCUCCCCUCCCGCCCCCGGCCGCCAUUUUGGGGCCCGCACAGCCCCUCAGGCAGGGCCGCCCCCGCCGCCCCAGCCCGCCAAUCGCAUCUCUCCCCGCUCCGCCCCGCCGCCCAAUGGGAGAGGCUCGCGUUUCCCAGCCCCCGCCCCGCCGCUCUCUUCCUGCGGCCUGACAGGUGCGUCACCCCCCUCCCAUUGGCCCGCUCGCCCUAGACGGACACCCUCCCGGACCAAUCCCCUUCCGAAGGGCGUUCCCCGCAGCACCCUCCGUCCCCACCCGCUGAGGGGAGCGAAGCCGCCCUCAUUACCUCACGCAGCGCCCGGCGGCUCCCAUUGGCCGCUUCCCCCCUCUUCUCCCCGCCCCCCGAUGACGCCACGGCACGGGGGGGGCUGCGAUUGGCCGAGCGCGAGGCCGGGCCCGGCUGCGCGAGGCCGAGGGGCGGGCUUAAAGGGGGGCGGCGGCGGCGGGGCCUGGGCGGCGGGCGGCGGGGAGCGGCGCGGCCGGAGCGCGGUGAGGGCCCGGCGGGGCGCGCGGCUUUUAACCAAUUUCCCCCUUUCUCACCCCAUUUUUGCUACGGGAGGGGAGGGCGGCGAGCGGGGUGGGGCUCCCCGCGGCCUCGGCGCUGUGGGCAGGGGGGGUGGGGGGCUCGGGGCGGGCCCCGCCGCCGGGGCCGGGCGCUCCUCACAGGGAGCCGCUGGCAGUGGGGUGGCGGUUGGGGGGGGGGGGGGUUUGAUCCCCAACGGCUCCGAGCCCCAACGGCCCCGCCGGUGCCGGGCAGGGAACGCGGCCCCACAGGCACCGGGGUCCCUCGCAGCUGCCCGGGGCAGCCAAGGGGACGUGCACAAAGCCCAGCUGCAGCCGGCCCUCAGCGCGGCCACCCCGUGUGGUGCUGGGGGUGCCGCUGCGGGGUGUGCUGCGGGCGGCAGGUGGCCUGGGCAGCCACAGGAGGGCUUCCACUGUGCGAGUGCGCUGUAA